rnacentral:rRNA from 1 species
GACGAACGCUGGCGGCGUGCUUAACACAUGCAAGUCGAACGGAAAGGCCCUGCUUUUGUGGGGUGCUCGAGUGGCGAACGGGUGAGUAACACGUGAGUAACCUGCCCUUGACUUUGGGAUAACUUCAGGAAACUGGGGCUAAUACCGGAUAGGAGCUCCUGCUGCAUGGUGGGGGUUGGAAAGUUUCGGCGGUUGGGGAUGGACUCGCGGCUUAUCAGCUUGUUGGUGGGGUAGUGGCUUACGAAGGCUUUGACGGGUAGCCGGCCUGAGCGGGUGACCGGCCACAUUGGGACUGAGAUACGGCCCAGACUCCUACGGGAGGCAGCAGUGGGGAAUAUUGCACAAUGGGCGGAAGCCUGAUGCAGCAACGCCGCGUGCGGGAUGACGGCCUUCGGGUUGAAAACCGCUUUCGCCUGUGACGAAGCGUGAGUGACGGUAAUGGGUAAAGAAGCACCGGCUAACUACGUG